UAGAGCAUGGCCACAGCCAUCUCCAAGCCUCUGACCUGCGUGUGCAGGAAGGGCUAAGGAACCAGGCAGAGGUGAAAGCCUGCGUUUCCCAGGGAAAAGAAAUUACUCUAACAUCAAUAACAUCUAUCUCUCCUAGGUAAUCAAACUGAGCACCUGGAUAAAGAAACCCCACCUCCCACAGUCCCAAUAAGGACCGGAAAUUGGCUUGUUGAAGUGACGCAGGAAAAUGGAGCCGGCAGUGCAAAGUGACUCCAGGAGUUAGAGCCUCAUUUUCUGAUUUCCAGAGGAAUAAUCUGAACCUCUCCGAGAUUGAGGAACCUGCCUCAAGUAACGGCUGGAAAGGAAGCUCAAGCCUAAAGGGAUGAAGUGACUUGCCCAAGGUCACACAUCUGGUCAGUGCCCUUCACCUGGGGUGAACCUUCACACAUCCAAGGUGAAGACGAAGGAAGUCAGCCGUUUCCCUCUUGUGUUUCAAGCAAUGAAGUUUGCUUAAGAUUGGUGAAUGUAGUCUUAGACAUUUCUCCUUCCUCUUCAUGCCCCACAUACCAACACCACCAAACACAUAACAAUUGCCUGCUCUGCUUCUCUUUUCAUGGGAAGAUUUUCAAUCUAUAGGCACCAUCAGUUCCUUCUAGCAGAAAUGGAAAUGGCUUCCUGACCCACGGACGGAGGUGGCUACCUUUGGCAACUCAGGCGGGAUGGCUAAUACAGGUGUUUUUCGUCAUUCUCAUCUCCCAAACCCCAGAGCCCACCUUCUCACCACCAAAGGAGAUCAGUCAGAUGCAGACCAUGUGAGAUGGCUGGAAGAGCCCGGGUUUUCAAAUCAGCAGCCCUAGAUACCAUUAACUGCAUGGCCUCUCUAGAGGCGCUUAGUGAUUGGCAUCUCUAAAUUGGAGAUGAAAAUGCCGUGGUGCCAUGAGAAUGGAAUGAGAUCAUAUUUGGGGAAAGCCCUUUGGAAAUGGUUAUGAGAGGAAAUGCCAGGGAUUUUCAUUACUGGCUUCAGGCUGCCCUAGGCUUGACCAUGCAGUCGAGUUCACAGCCCAAAGGAAGGGUGUCUGCAGCUGGGCUGGGCCAGAGGUGGGGCUGGAGAUUGGAAAUGUGGGUUCCUCCACCUGUGUACAUAAGAAAGCGCCUCUUCCAACAGCCCUCAGAGAGGGGCAUGGACAGGGCCAGCAGUAGCCCAACUCCCAGAACGCAGCUGCCAUGUGUCAGCCCUGAAGCUACCUUUUUUUCUCCUUUUUUUUUUUUUUUUUUUUUUUUUUUUGGUUCUCAUAGGUCUGGAGCAUUUGAAAGGGGCUGGUUCACUACUGGCCUGGCAGACAGGCAGCUUGCUCCAGGGCAACAACUCAUGUUUUUCCCCAGUGUGAGCUUGUGCAAGUGGAGAAUGCUGGGAAUGUGAAGCCUGUUCCCUAUUACUCCACUUCCUUUGCGCACUCAGUUUCCCCUCCCUCCUCAAUUUCUUCCGCAGUCUUGAUGAGAAAUGAUAGUCUCAGAGAGAGAGCAAGCUCUUUUACUCAAGUUAGCCACACCACCUAUUUCAUCUCUUCUGGAAAACUCCUCCCUCAAUAAGCACGGCUGGCCCUGUAUACUCCCUUUUCCCAUUCAACUGCACCUUCAAUUUCUCCUGUCCACAGACUUCCUCUGUGUUUAUAAGCAUGUACAGACUUCUAAUAACUCGAGAAAUGUUCCUUGAUGUCUCCUCCACCAUUCACUCUACUUACAAUCCUA
rnacentral:lncRNA from 10 species